AAACCCGGAUUUCAUAUCUAAUCAAACAUUUAAAGUAUAAUGUACUUACAUGGCUCAAAUCGAUUAAGUUUUGAUUGCAUUACUAGCAGAUGUAAGUAUGUUAUACUAAUUUGUAGACCUAGUUGAGCCAGUGAAUAAUUUUAAGUGAAAUAGCUUCAAAUUUCCAAGUUUUAGUGAUGCAAUGCAUGAUGGGAACGUGAUCGCUGUCACUUUGCCGCAGAGAAGACGUCACUUUGCCGCCGUGUCCCUGUUUUUUGCCGAGAAGACGUCACUUUCUCGCCGCGCACCGGACUGUCCAGUGUCUACCAAAACUCGCCAGAGACGCGUCUUGGUGACACAGCCCGAUCCACGCUGAGCGAGGGACACGCACUCAGUGGGAAGAAGAGUACCACUGAGCCAACAGACAUCAGGUGCCUUUGUCUUCGGGGACUCCCUGUCAUCUUGGCGGAUGAUUCUUCUGCCUUCUUCAGAACAUGCUCUGUAAGUUAAUUUGUUUUUGUAAAUGUUGCAGGUGCAUGCUCCUUUUGUCUCCUUUUUAACUGUUAAUGAACACUGCCAUUAAUUUUCAAAAUUAUUUGAUCAGCAUCAGUGUCUCCAUUAAGUCUCUAUUUUAUGGCCAAGCAAAGAUAGUUUACCCACUUUCAG